AUUGAACGCUGGCGGCAGGCCUAACACAUGCAAGUCGAGCGCGAGGCGGACGGGUGAGUAAUGUAUGGGGACUGCCCGAUAGAGGGGGAUAACAACUGGAAACGGUAUCUAAUACCGCAUACUAUCGGAUAACCCAGAUGGGAGUAGCUAGUAGGUGGGGUAAUGGCUCACCUAGGCGACGAUCCCUAGCUGGUCUGAGAGGAUGAUCAGCCACACUGGAACUGAGACACGGCCCAGACUCCUACGGAGGCAGCAGUGGGGAAUAUUGCACAAUGGGCGCAAGCCUGAUGCAGCCAUGCCGCGUGUAUGAAGAAGGCCUUCGGGUUGUAAAGUACUUUCAGUCGGGAGGCGUUACCGACAGAAGAAGCACCGGCUAACUCCGUGCCAGCAGCCGCGGUAAUAC
rnacentral:rRNA from 1 species